GAGGAAAAGAAACCAACAGGGAUUGCCUCAGUAACGGCGAGUGAAGCGGCAACAGCUCAAAUUUGAAAUCUGGCCCGUCGGGGUCCGAGUUGUAAUUUGUAGAGGAUGUUUCGGGUACCGCCUCGGUUUAAAUUUCUUGGAACAGAAUGUCAGAGAGGGUGAGAAUCCCGUCUUGGACCGGCGGUAGGGCCUAUGUGAAACUCCUUCGACGAGUCGAGUUGUUUGGGAAUGCAGCUCAAAAUGGGUGGUAAAUUUCAUCUAAAGCUAAAUAUUGGCCAGAGACCGAUAGCGCACAAGUAGAGUGAUCGAAAGAUGAAAAGCACUUUGAAAAGAGAGUUAAACAGUAUGUGAAAUUGUUGAAAGGGAAGCGCUUGCAACCAGACUUGAGCGCGGCGGUUCCCCCCGGCUUCUGCCUGGGUUACUCCGCCGUGUCCAGGCCAACAUCGGUUCUGGGGGUCGGUCAAAGGCCCCGGAAAUGUACCUACCUACGGGUAGACUUAUAGACCGGGGUGUCAUGCGACCUCCCGGGACCGAGGAACGCGCUUCGGCUCGGAUGUUGGCGUAAUGGUUGUCAGCGACCCGUCUUGAAACACGGACCAAGGAGUCUAACAUCUAUGCGAGUGUUUGGGUGUCAAACCCGGAACGCGGAAUGAAAGUGAACGGAGGUAGGAAGCUUCGGCUGCACUAUCGACCGAUCCUGAAGUUUACGGAUGGAUUUGAGUAAGAGCAUAGCUGUUGGGACCCGAAAGAUGGUGAACUAUGCCUGAAUAGGGUGAAGCCAGAGGAAACUCUGGUGGAGGCUCGCAGCGGUUCUGACGUGCAAAUCGAUCGUCAAAUUUGGGUAUAGGGGCGAAAGACUAAUCGAACCAUCUGG
rnacentral:sRNA from 1 species